AUUGAACGCUGGCGGCAGGCCUAACACUGCAAGUCGAGCGGCAGCGGAAAGUAGCUGCUACUUUGCCGGCGAGCGGCGGACGGGUGAGUAAUGUCUGGGAAACUGCGUGAUGGAGGGGGAUAACUACUGGAAACGGUAGCUAAUACCGCAUGACCUCGAAAGAGCAAAGUGGGGGAUCUUCGGACCUCACGCCAUCGGAUGUGCCCAGAUGGGAUUAGCUAGUAGGUGAGGUAAUGGCUCACCUAGGCGACGAUCCCUAGCUGGUCUGAGAGGAUGACCAGCCACACUGGAACUGAGACACGGUCCAGACUCCUACGGGAGGCAGCAGUGGGGAAUAUUGCACAAUGGGCGCAAGCCUGAUGCAGCCAUGCCGCGUGUGUGAAGAAGGCCUUAGGGUUGUAAAGCACUUUCAGCGAGGAGGAAGGCAUCAUACUUAAUACGUGUGGUGAUUGACGUUACUCGCAGAAGAAGCACCGGCUAACUCCGUGCCAGCAGCCGCGGUAAUACGGAGGGUGCAAGCGUUAAUCGGAAUUACUGGGCGUAAAGCGCACGCAGGCGGUUUGUUAAGUCAGAUGUGAAAUCCCCGCGCUUAACGUGGGAACUGCAUUUGAAACUGGCAAGCUAGAGUCUUGUAGAGGGGGGUAGAAUUCCAGGUGUAGCGGUGAAAUGCGUAGAGAUCUGGAGGAAUACCGGUGGCGAAGGCGGCCCCCUGGACAAAGACUGACGCUCAGGUGCGAAAGCGUGGGGAGCAAACAGG
rnacentral:rRNA from 1 species